AAUCUUUCGCAAUGGGCGAAAGCCUGACGCAGCCAUGCCGGGUGAAUGAUGAAGGUCUUAGGAGUGGAAAAUUCUUUCACCGGGGACGAUAAUGACGGUACCCAGAGAAGAAGCCCCGGCUAACUUAGUGCCAGCAGCCGCGGUAAUACGAAGGGGGCUAGCGUUGCUCGGAAUUACUGGGCGUAAAGGGCUAGGAGGCGGACAUUUAAGUAAGGGGUGAAAGCCCCAGGCUCAGCUCUGAAACGGCCUUUGAUACUGUGUGUUUUGAGUGUGAGAGAGGUAUGUGGAACUCCGAGUGUAGAGGUGAAAUUCGUAGAUAUUCGGAAGAACACCAGUGGCGAAGGCGACAUACAAGCUCAUUACUGACACUGAGGAGCAAAAGCGUGGGGAGCAAACA
rnacentral:rRNA from 1 species